CCAUAAGACGAGAAGACCCCAUGGAGCUUCAAACCCAAUUACACCCCUAACCCCUAUAACUACUUAACCCUUAGGAUUCUGUAUUAUUGGUUUUAGGUUGGGGCGACCACGGAGUACAACAAAACCUCCACAAUGAACGGAACUACUUCCUCAUCUAAGAGCUACAUCUCUAAGAAUUAAAAUAUUAACAUAAAAUGAUCCAUUUUUGAUCAAUGAACCAAGUUACCCUGGGGAUAACAGCGCAAUCCAUUUCAAGAGCCCCUAUCGACAAA
rnacentral:rRNA from 1 species